AUUGAACGCUGGCGGCAUGCUUUACACAUGCAAGUCGAACGGUAACAGGCCGCAAGGUGCUGACGAGUGGCGAACGGGUGAGUAAUGCAUCGGAACGUGCCCAGUCGUGGGGGAUAACUACUCGAAAGAGUAGCUAAUACCGCAUACGAUCUAUGGAUGAAAGCGGGGGACCGUAAGGCAUCGCGCGAUUGGAGCGGCCGAUGUCAGAUUAGGUAGUUGGUGGGGUAAAGGCUCACCAAGCCAACGAUCUGUAGCUGGUCUGAGAGGACGAGCAGCCACACUGGGACUGAGACACGGCCCAGACUCCUACGGGAGGCAGCAGUGGGGAAUUUUGGACAAUGGGCGCAAGCCUGAUCCAGCAAUGCCGCGUGCAGGAAGAAGGCCUUCGGGUUGUAAACUGCUUUUGUACGGAACGAAACGGCUCUGGUUAAUACCCGGGGCUAAUGACGGUACCGUAAGAAUAAGCACCGGCUAACUACGUG
rnacentral:rRNA from 1 species